rnacentral:lncRNA from 1 species
CUAAGUCUCCACCUGGUGGCUAAAUUAAGUUCUAGAAUCACUCUUGAUGGUGCUCCUCAGCACUCAGUCAAAUCGCAUACAGGCUUCUCUGAGAAUGAAGGUUUUUGAUAAUUUUUAUAUUAAAAAAAUACAUUUUAGAAAUUACAGGAGUAAAGCUUCCAGCCCCUGAAGCCCUGAAACAAGAACCCCCUGAGGGGAAACUUCUAUUUGGUCUGACAAUAUGGAAGGUUGGACCACAUCCAGGAGUGUCAUGGGCUACAUGCAACAAGGGCUUGCUUGAUAUCUCUGUCUUAGAUGACCAAUAUAAGGUACCUUUUAGCUCUAAGGUUCUGCAGCUAUAUUCUAAAUAGCUAUAUUUCUUUGUAGGUCUAAGAUGAAUAAAGAAAAAAGCAUUCCAGAACUUGACUUUUUG